CCCUUAGAUGUCCUGGCCGCACGCGCGUUACACUGAUGCAUUCAACGAGCUUAUAACCUUGGCCGAGAGGCCUGGGCAAUCUUGUUAACGUGCAUCGUGAUAGGGAUAGAUUAUUGAAAUUAUUAAUCUUGAACGAGGAAUUCCUAGUAAACGCAGAUCAUCAAUCUGCAUUGAUUACGUCCCUGCCCUUUGUACACACCGCCCGUCGCACCUACCGAUUGGAUGGUCCGGUGAAGCCUCGGGAUUGUGGUUCUUGCCGCUUUAUUGUGGCGUGACCGCGAGAACUUGUCUAAACCUUAUCAUCUAGAGGAAGGUGAAGUCGUAACA
rnacentral:rRNA from 1 species